CCCAGACUCCUACGGGAGGCAGCAGUGAGGAAUAUUGGUCAAUGGGCGAGAGCCUGAACCAGCCAAGUCGCGUGAGGGAGUACUGCCCUAUGGGUUGUAAACCUCUUUUGUCGGGGAGCAAAAGCCGGACGUGUCCGUCUGUGAGAGUACCCGAAGAAAAAGCAUCGGCUAACUCCGUGCCAGCAGCCGCGGUAAUACGGAGGAUGCGAGCGUUAUCCGGAUUUAUUGGGUUUAAAGGGUGCGCAGGCGGAUUUUUAAGUCAGCGGUCAAAUCGUGGGGCUCAACCCCAUCCAGCCGUUGAAACUGGGGAUCUAGAGUGUGCGAGAGGUAUGCGGAAUGCGCGGUGUAGCGGUGAAAUGCAUAGAUAUCACGCAGAACUCCGAUUGCGAAGGCAGCAUACCGGCGCUCAACUGACGCUCAGGCACGAAAGUGUGGGUAUCGAACAGGAUUAGAUACCCGGGUAA
rnacentral:rRNA from 1 species